UACGGAGGGUGCAAGCGUUAUCCGGAUUCACUGGGUUUAAAGGGUGCGUAGGUGGGUCUGUAAGUCAGUGGUGAAAUCUCCGGGCUUAACCCGGAAACUGCCAUUGAUACUAUAGGUCUUGAAUUAUCCGGAGGUAAGCGGAAUAUGUCAUGUAGCGGUGAAAUGCUUAGAUAUGACAUAGAACACCAAUUGCGAAGGCAGCUUACUACGGAUCGAUUGACACUGAGGCACGAAAGCGUGGGGAUCAAACAGG
rnacentral:rRNA from 1 species